CCGUUCCCUCCCCAGGGAAACAUGGAAUAGAGGAGCAGAAUAUAUUGGACGACAUGUUUCCAUAGGAGAUUACUGAAGUUCUGGAUAAUGGGCCAUCUCAAGGUGAGACUCUCAUAGUCUGAAAGCAUUCGACCUCAAUAGACCAGAGUCUAG